rnacentral:misc_RNA from 1 species
AAGUCGUAACAAGGUUACCGUAGGUGAACCUGCGGUAGGAUCAUUAGUGAAAAGUUUAUCUUUAUCACAUUAAACUCAACCGUGAAACUUUCAACUUGGCAAGUUCCCAUAAAGUUAGAUUGGCUUAGGCUAAUAGGUAUUUAGGGCCCCUAUGAUGUGAAGCUCUUAGGCUAAACUGAAUUUGGGUGUAUUGUGGCCUUAGGCGCUAUGGCGGAUGCCAGAAGUCUUACUACACAAUAACACAGGCUUGCUGUAUUGCUAUUUUAGUGCUGUGGGAUUUAAGUUUAUGUUAUUGCCUAAGUAAAAAAACAAGAGUAUACAACCUUUAACAAUGGAUCUCUUGGCUCCU